rnacentral:rRNA from 1 species
UGAGGAAUAUUGGACAAUGGGCGCAAGCCUGAUCCAGCCAUGCCGCGUGCAGGAUGGCGGUCCUAUGGAUUGUAAACUGCUUUUGUACAGGAAGAAACAGUUCUACGUGUAGAACCUUGACGGUACUGUAAGAAUAAGGAUCGGCUAACUCCGUGCCAGCAGCCGCGGUAAUACGGAGGAUCCAAGCGUUAUCCGGAAUCAUUGGGUUUAAAGGGUCCGUAGGCGGUUAGAUAAGUCAGUGGUGAAAGCCCAUCGCUCAACGGUGGAACGGCCAUUGAUACUGUCUGACUUGAAUUAUUAGGAAGUAACUAGAAUAUGUAGUGUAGCGGUGAAAUGCUUAGAGAUUACAUGGAAUACCAAUUGCGAAGGCAGGUUACUACUAAUGGAUUGACGCUGAUGGACGAAAGCGUGGGUAGCGAACAGGAUUAGAUACCCUUGUAGUCCCUGAGCGGGCUGGCAAGGCGCAU